rnacentral:rRNA from 1 species
AUAACAAUACAGGACUCUUUUGAGGCCCUGUAAUUGGAAUGAGUACACUUUAAAUCCUUUAACGUGGAUCUAUUGGAGGGCAAGUCUGGUGCAGAGAGACUGACCCGUGCGUGCUGCAGCUGAAACUCCACUAUCACCUGCUACUG